GGAGGACUAGACCUAAUUGGUAAGGCAGCGGUCUUGAAAACCGCCGGGCGAAAGCCCUUGGGAGUUCGGAGUCUCCCGUCCUCCG
rnacentral:tRNA from 1 species